CUACGGGGGGCACCAGUGGGGAAUAUUGCACAAUGGGCGCAAGCCUGAUGCAGCCAUGCCGCGUGUAUGAAGAAGGCCUUCGGGUUGUAAAGUACUUUCAGCGGGGAGGAAGGGAGUAAAGUUAAUACCUUUGCUCAUUGACGUUACCCGCAGAAGAAGCACCGGCUAACUCCGUGCCAGCAGCCGCGGUAAUACGGAGGGUGCAAGCGUUAAUCGGAAUUACCGGGCGUAAAGCGCACGCAGGCGGUUUGUUAAGUCAGAUGUGAAAUCCCCGGGCUCAACCUGGGAACUGCAUCUGAUACUGGCAAGCUUGAGUCUCGUAGAGGGGGGUAGAAUUACAGGUGUAGCGGUGAAAUGCGUAGAGAUCUGGAGGAAUACCGGUGGCGAAGGCGGCCCCCUGGACGAAGACUGACGCUCAGGUGCGAAAGCGUGGGGAGCAAACAGGAUUAGAUACCCCCGUAGUC
rnacentral:rRNA from 1 species